rnacentral:rRNA from 1 species
AGAGUUUGAUCCUGGCUCAGGACGAACGCUGGCGGCGUGCUUAACACAUGCAAGUCGAGCGGAAAGGCCCUUCGGGGUACUCGAGCGGCGAACGGGUGAGUAACACGUGAGUAAUCUGCCCCUAGCUCUGGGAUAGCUCCGGGAAACCGGGAUUAAUACCAGAUACAACUACUUAAGACAUCUUUUGUGGUGGAAAGAAUUUCGGCUAGGGAUGUGCUCGCGGCCUAUCAGCUUGUCGGUGAGGUAACGGCUCACCAAGGCGACGACGGGUAGCCGGCCUGAGAGGGCGACCGGCCACACUGGGACUGAGACACGGCCCAGACUCCUACGGGAGGCAGCAGUGGGGAAUAUUGCGCAAUGGGCGAAAGCCUGACGCAGCGACGCCGCGUGGGGGAUGAAGGCCUUCGGGUUGUAAACCCCUUUCAGCAGGGACGAAGCGAAAGUGACGGUACCUGCAGAAGAAGCGCCGGCUAACUACGUGCCAGCAGCCGCGGUAACACGUAGGGCGCAAGCGUUGUCCGGAAUUAUUGGGCGUAAAGAGCUCGUAGGUGGUCUGUUGCGUCCGCUGUGAAAACUCGGGGCUUAACCCCGAGCCUGCAGUGGAUACGGGCAGACUAGAGGUAGGUAGGGGAGAAUGGAAUUCCUGGUGUAGCGGUGAAAUGCGCAGAUAUCAGGAGGAACACCGGUGGCGAAGGCGGUUCUCUGGGCCUUACCUGACACUGAGGAGCGAAAGCGUGGGGAGCGAACAGGAUUAGAUACCCUAGUAGUCC